rnacentral:lncRNA from 1 species
GGAAAUGCCUUGUGUUGUAGUUUUUUUCACUGCUCAAUCCUGAGAGAGUACACAUUGAAAUUGGUACUGAUGGCAGAGUAACUGGUGAAGCAGAUGUUUGUUGAGUUUGCAGCUCGUGAAGAUGCUGUGGCAGCUGUGUCAAAAGACAAAGCAAAUGUGCGGAAGUGUGAUUGAGCAUUUGUGGGCUCUUAACAGGUGAUUAACACAGAUAUGUAGAACUCUUCUUGAAUUCUACAGCAGGAGCAAGUGGUGGUGCUUUUGGUAGCCAAAUGAUUGGAGACACGGGUUUGCCAAACCCGUCCAGUUACGGUGGCCCAGCCAGCCAGCAGCUGAGUGGUGAUUAUGGAGGCGGAUGUGUGUGGUGGCCAGAGCAGCAUGAGUGGAUACGGUAACCAAGGAGCAAUGAACAGCAGCUACUACAGUAGUGGAAGCCGUGCAUCUAUGGACGUGAAUGGAAUGGGAGGGAUAUCUAGCAUGUCCAGUAUGUGUGGUGGAUGGGGAAUGUAAUUGAUCGAUCCUGAUCACUGACUCUUGGUCAACUUUUUUUUUUUAAAAGAAAAAAAAACUUCAGUUUAACAGUUUCUGCAAUACAAGCUUGUGAUUUACGCUUACUCUGUAAGUGGAAAUCAGGAUUGUUAUGAGGACUUGAGGCCCAGUAUUUUUGAAUAUAGUACUAUCUAGGAUGUAACAGUGAAGCUGAGUAAACGGUAACUGUUAAACUUAAGUUCCAGCUUUUCUCAAGUUAGUUAUAGGAUAUACUUAAGCAGUAAGCGUAUUUAGGUAAAAGCAGUUGGAUUAUGUUAAAUGUUGCCCUUUGUCACGUUACAUUGAACACUGGAUGCAUGUUGAAAGACAUGCUUUUAUUUUUUUGUAAAACUCCAUAUAGGAGCUGUGUCUACAAUUAAAAAUGAAACAUUUUGGCAUGUUUAUUAAUUUUAGUUUCAUUUAGUAACCUGUGAGGCACAUAAGUUUAAGCCUUUUUUUUUUUUUUUAAGUUAAUGGGAAAAAUUUGAGAUGCAAUACCAAUACUUUAGGAUUUUGGUCUUGGUGAUUUUGGUCUUGGUGUUUGUAUGAAAUUCUGAGGCCUUGAUGUAAAUCUUUCAUUGUAGUGUGAUUUCCUUUUAGGUAUAUUGCGCUAAGUGAAACUUGUCAAAUAAAUCCUUUUAAAAACUG